GUCAUUACCUUCAUCUCCAGUUAACCAAACAGUCAGAGUCAUGGAUUGGUUUUGGUCAUUAGUUUGGUGUUUCUUACUCCUGACAGGUUUUCUGCGUCCUUACAGCAGUGCUACUGGUUGUGCGGGCCCACCAGUUCUAUGUUGCGCUGGUCGGAACAGCUCCUGUAACAGAGAGUGUUUCUGUGACGAGGAUUGUGUGGAAUCGGGUGACUGCUGUCCUGACUAUAGUUCAACCUGUGGACAAUCAUCCACCGUUUCACCAACACUUUCUUCCGUCUCUACUAAGCCAACUACAGCGAUUGUUCGCCUAAAGGUUAAUUUUCAAUGUCGUUCUGAAGUCCAAGAACAAGCAAUUUUAGAAAUUUCAUCUUUUCUUCAGGGACGUUUCCAGGAGAGCUGUAAGGGCUGCGCAGUGAAGGUCAAACCCGUGUGAGGAUUUGGGCAAUGAAAGCGUGAUUUUUGGAUAAAACGACACCGUGAUGACAGACUCCAACACUCAUCUGCUAAAUAUAAAUAAGCUAUUAAAAGCUAAUAAAGUUAACUGACUAUUUCAGAAUUAAUAAAGCACUCUAUGUUUGCAUUCAUGUAGCAGCAUCUACAUCCUUCUGAGCUCUUAUUUAGUUUUUAUUUUAAACUCAAUCAAAGAAAACAUUUAUAGCACAUGUGCUUUGUUUGAUUCACUCUUUUCUGUUUUUUUCAUAAUAAAAGUCACAGGGUUUACUCUUUACUAACUAUUGUCAAGAUCCAACGCUGAGUUGACAGGUUCUUUUUCACAUUAAAAACAUAGAGGAAUGUUUUACACAGAUGUGAAUGUUGACCAUAUAUUUAGAUUAUAAGGGUUUUUAACAGAUUUCACUUCACUUCCAAUUUUAUGGGAAAAAUCUAGAAAAAAUGAAGAAAUUCUCACAAUUAUCUGGCAGAAAAAUAAUUCACCGUACAAAUCCAGUCUGCUGUGGUCAAGGAAAUAGCCACACUUACUAAGAUAUGAUACUCUGAAACAUGCCUGUGCUGCUGAGGCUUGGCUUUAGUGCUGUUAGAAUAUAAUUACAUUAAACCCACAUGUAAUAUAUCAUUCAUUUGAACUUCAUUUGAAAAUCAAUGACAUUAAUGACUUAGCCUCUAUUUCUGCCAUGAUUAAUGUAAUCUUGCAUAAUUAUAAACACAUUCAUUGUAGCAAAUAAACAAAUAGAAAUCAUUUUUUUUGUUCAGAUGUUUUCAUAUUUCAUAAUGUAUAUUCCACUGUGUUAAAUAGAUUGGUUUAAUUGAUUUGUGCUAGUUUUCUUUUUCUGUGUGUGUUGUGCUAAAUAACUAAGAAUUUAUUGUUUCCUUUUGUAGAUGAUAUUAGCUCACAUUUAAUUAUCCUGAUUUCUUGCAGAUUCUUCAUGUGUGUUCAAUAAAAGAAAAUAAAUCAUUA
ensembl:lncRNA